UUCAUGGAGAGUUUGAUCCUGGCUCAGGACGAACGCUGGCGGCGUGCCUAAUACAUGCAAGUCGAGCGAACCGACGGGAGCUUGCUCCCUUAGGUUAGCGGCGGACGGGUGAGUAACACGUGGGUAACCUGCCUGUAAGACUGGGAUAACUCCGGGAAACCGGGGCUAAUACCGGAUGCUUGAUUGAACCGCAUGGUUCAAUUAUAAAAGGUGGCUUUUAGCUACCACUUACAGAUGGACCCGCGGCGCAUUAGCUAGUUGGUGAGGUAACGGCUCACCAAGGCGACGAUGCGUAGCCGACCUGAGAGGGUGAUCGGCCACACUGGGACUGAGACACGGCCCAGACUCCUACGGGAGGCAGCAGUAGGGAAUCUUCCGCAAUGGACGAAAGUCUGACGGAGCA
rnacentral:rRNA from 1 species